CUCACACAAGCGGUGGAGCAUGUGGCUUAAUUCGAGGCAACGCGAAGAACCUUAUCCUGACUGACAUGAUUGGAUUAGCUCUGUGAAAGCAGAGUGACGCCUUCGGGUGGAACGAUCACAGGUGCUGCAUGGCUGUCGUCAGCUCGUGUCGUGAGAUGUCGGGUUAAGUCCUUCAACGAGCGAAACCCCUGUCUCUAGUUGCCAGCAUUCAGUUGGGGACUCUAGAGAGACCGCCGGCGUCAAGCCGGAGGAAGGCGGGGACGACGUCAAGUCAUCAUGCCCCUUAUGCCUAGGGCUGCACGCAUGCUACAAUGGCCGAUACAAAGGGCUGCGAUACCGUAAGGUGGAGCGAAUCCCAUAAAGUCGGUCUCAGUUCGGAUUGGGGUCUGCAACUCGACCCCAUGAAGUUGGAGUUGCUAGUAAUCGCAGAUCAGCAACGCUGCGGUGAAUACGUUCCCGGGCCUUGUACACACCGCCCGUCACGUCACGAAAGUCGGUAACACCCGAAGCCGGUGGCCUAACCGUAAGGAAGGAGCCGUCGAAGGUGGGAUCGGUGAUUGGGACGAAGUCGUAAGCAAGGU
rnacentral:rRNA from 1 species